rnacentral:rRNA from 1 species
CCCUUAGAUGUCCGGGGCCGCACGCGCGCUACACUGAAGGAAUCAGCGUGGCUUUCUCCCUGACCCGAAAGGGUUGGGAAACCCGUUGAAUCUCCUUCGUGAUAGGGAUUGGGGCUUGAAAUUGUUCCCCAUGAACGAGGAAUUCCUAGUAAGCGCAAGUCAUCAACUUGCGUUGAUUACGUCCCUGCCCUUUGUACACACCGCCCGUCGCUACUGCCAACUGAGAUGGGUCCUGAAUUGUUAGGAACGCCCGUCAAGGGGCCUACCCGGUCCCUAGUGCGGUGACGAGAAUAACUGUAAAUGGCAUAUCUUGUAGGGAGUAAAAGUCGUAACA